rnacentral:rRNA from 1 species
CCAAUAGCGUAUAUUAAAGUUGUUGCAGUUAAAAAGCUCGUAGUUGAAUUUCGGGGUCAGUAGGCUGGUCGUGCCACAGGUAUGUACUGGUCUUACUGAUUCCUCCUUCCUGAUGAACCGUAAUGCCAUUAAUUUGGUGUUGCGGGGAAUCUGGACUGUUACUUUGAAAAAAUUAGAGUGUUUAAAGCAGGCUAACGCUUGAAUACAUUAGCAUGGAAUAAUGAAAUAGGACGAUCGAUCCUAUUUUGUUGGUUUCUAGGAUUGACGUAAUGAUUAAUAGGGAUAGUUGGGGGCAUUAGUAUUCAAUUGUCAGAGGUGAAAUUCUUGGAUUUAUUGAAGACUAACUACUGCGAAAGCAUUUGCCAAGGAUGUUUUCAUUAAUCAAGAACGAAAGUUAGGGGGAUCGAAGACGAUCAGAUACCGUCGUAGUCUUAACCAUAAACUAUGCCGACUAGGGAUCGGAUGAUGUUAAUUUUUUAAUGACUCAUUCGGCGCCUUACG